AGAGUUUGAUCCUGGCUCAGAUUGAACGCUGGCGGCAGGCCUAACACAUGCAAGUCGAACGGUAACAGGAAGCAGCUUGCUGCUUCGCUGACGAGUGGCGGACGGGUGAGUAAUGUCUGGGAAACUGCCUGAUGGAGGGGGAUAACUACUGGAAACGGUAGCUAAUACCGCAUAACGUCGCAAGACCAAAGAGGGGGACCUUCGGGCCUCUUGCCAUCGGAUGUGCCCAGAUGGGAUUAGCUAGUAGGUGGGGUAACGGCUCACCUAGGCGACGAUCCCUAGCUGGUCUGAGAGGAUGACCAGCCACACUGGAACUGAGACACGGUCCAGACUCCUACGGGAGGCAGCAGUGGGGAAUAUUGCACAAUGGGCGCAAGCCUGAUGCAGCCAUGCCGCGUGUAUGAAGAAGGCCUUCGGGUUGUAAAGUACUUUCAGCGGGGAGGAAGGGAGUAAAGUUAAUACCUUUGCUCAUUGACGUUACCCGCAGAAGAAGCACCGGCUAACUCCGUGCCAGCAGCCGCGGUAAUACGGAGGGUGCGAGCGUUAAUCGGAAUUACUGGGCGUAAAGCGCACGCAGGCGGUUUGUUAAGUCAGAUGUGAAAUCCCCGGGCUCAACCUGGGAACUGCAUCUGAUACUGGCAAGCUUGAGUCUCGUAGAGGGGGGUAGAAUUCCAGGUGUAGCGGUGAAAUGCGUAGAGAUCUGGAGGAAUACCGGUGGCGAAGGCGGCCCCCUGGACGAAGACUGACGCUCAGGUGCGAAAGCGUGGGGAGCAAACAGGAUUAGAUACCCUGGUAGUCCACGCCGUAAACGAUGUCGACUUGGAGGUUGUGCCCUUGAGGCGUGGCUUCCGGAGCUAACACGUUAAGUCGACCGCCUGGGGAGUACGGCCGCAAGGUUAAAACUCAAAUGAAUUGACGGGGGCCCGCACAAGCGGUGGAGCAUGUGGGUUAAUUCGAUGCAACGCGAAGAACCUUACCUGGUCUUGACAUCCACAGAACUUUCCAGAGAUGGAUUGGUGCCUUCGGGAACUGUGAGACAGGUGCUGCAUGGCUGUCGUCAGCUCGUGUUGUGAAAUGUUGGGUUAAGUCCCGCAACGAGCGCAACCCUUAUCCUUUGUUGCCAGCGGUCCGGCCGGGAACUCAAAGGAGACUGCCAGUGAUAAACUGGAGGAAGGUGGGGAUGACGUCAAGUCAUCAUGGCCCUUACGACCAGGGCUACACACGUGCUACAAUGGCGCAUACAAAGAGAAGCGACCUCGCGAGAGCAAGCGGACCUCAUAAAGUGCGUCGUAGUCCGGAUUGGAGUCUGCAACUCGACUCCAUGAAGUCGGAAUCGCUAGUAAUCGUGGAUCAGAAUGCCACGGUGAAUACGUUCCCGGGCCUUGCACACACCGCCCGUCA
rnacentral:rRNA from 1 species